GGAAUAUCAUGCUCCAAACAUUUUUAUGUGGUGCUGAGGAUCAAACCCAGUGCCUCACACUUGCUAGGCAAGCACUACCACUGAGCUACAACCCCAGCCCAGCCCUGUUUAUCUUGAGAUAGGACUAAAUUUCUGAUGCUGGUCUCAAACUUGCAAUUCUCCUGUCUUGAGCACCUGAGUAGAUGGAAUUAUAGGAAUGUGCUACUGUGCCCAGCUGCUUUAUUAUUUUAAUCACAGAGACAAAAUUCUAGGACAUUUGAUGCUGUGUAUCCAUUCUAAUGUGAUGCCCAACUAGCAUUUAAAUAUUAACUGUUCACUUAAAAGUGACAGUCCAGGUAUCCAGAUGAUGCGGCUUCCUAAAACUGUUCUAAAGAGCUAGGCAGGGGAGAUGUCUGGCUGAGCCUUUAAUAUCUGGCUGUUGUUUCAAUAAAUGGAGAGGGCUCAUUUCUUCUAGCAACAAUUGUGGACCAGAGAAUGGAAAUUGGUAACAGCUUCCUCCUACCUUAUUUGGAUCACAAAUGGGAAGGUGCUGCCUUAUUUAUUUUUAUUUUUUUUUAACCAUACGAUUUAUUUUUAUUUUUUUUAGUCAUACAUGAUAGCAAAAUGUAUUUUGACAUACAAUGCAUACAUGGAAUGUACAUACAUCAAUCAUAUUGUCUAUUCUGCUGCCCUUCCUAUCCCCCCUACUCCUCCCCUCCUCUCCCAUCCUUUCUCUCUAUCCAAUCUAAUGUGACACACUUUUUUUUUCUUUUUCUCAUCACAACAUCAUAUAUGUAUUCUGUAUAACAAUGAGGUUCUCCUUCCAUCUUCCGUGAGCUCCCCUUCUCUCUCUUUUUCCCUCCCACCUCUCUUCCCUAUUUAGUGGUAGUCGUCUUCUCAUGCUCUUCCUCCCUAUCCCAUUUUGAGUCACCCCCCUUAUAUCAGAGAAGACAUUCGGCAUUUGUGUUUUAGGGAUUGGCUAACUUCACUUAGCAUAAUCUGCUCGAAUGCCAUCCAUUUGCCUGCAAAUGCCAUGAUCUUGUUAUUUUUUAGUGCUGAGUAAUAUUCCAUUGUGUAUAAAUGCCACAUUUUUUUAAUCCAUCUAUUGAAGGGUAUCUAGGUUGGUUCCACAUUGUAGCUAUUGUGAAUUGUGCUGCUAUAAACAUCGAUGUGGCUGUGUCCCUGUAGUGUGCUUUUUUUAGGUCUUUUGGGUAUAGUCCAAGAAGGGGAAUAGCUGGGUCAAAUGGUGGUUCCAUUCCCAGCUUUCCAAGGAAUCUCCAUACUGCUUUCCAAAUUGGCUGCAUCAAUUUGCAGUCCCCUGCCUUAUUUAUUUAAAGACAGUAUUAUCAAGUCAUUUGGGGUUGUUUUGAGAAUCCCACAUAAUCUUCCCAGAUGUCAUUAAUAGAGGGAAAGUAGCCUUCACUAUUAUUGAGAAAAUUCCUAAGGCCAAUUAGGAUUAAUUUGAGCAAAGGUGAAGCAGGGCAUGGUAGCACUAACCUGAAAUCCCAGUUAUUUGGGAGACAGGAGAAUGACAAGUUCAAGACCCUGUCCCAAAAUAACGUAGCUCAGGGCUGGGGAGGUAGCUAAAAGAUAGUGUUUUCCUAGUAUGUGUAAGGCUCUGGGUUCAAUCCCUAGUACUGCGAAAAAAAUGAUUCAUAAAUUAGGCAACUCCCAGAACCAGCAGCUAUUCUGGGGAAUGCCAACAAUAUGAUAUGACUAGUGUUUAUAGAAAGAUGGAAUUAGAAAUUAAGUUCUAUAGAAAAAUAGAACUCUAUUGCUAUAGCUUGAUCAGUCUGUUUACAACUCAAUUGGUUAUGGGACCUCCUGCAACCAACCAAAGCUCAAUUACUGCAAUUAAACUCUCUAUUUUAUUUUUGGACCCAGUGCAAGUGUCCAUCCAGGACCUCCCAGAAAAUUUAACAGUUCCCCUCUUGUUUGGGUUCUCUCACUGAGUUACCUUUGGUGAAGGCGUUCCUGCACCUGCUGUCUGACAGGAUCACAGCGUGGGGGAUGCUGCAGCAGAGCCACACCAUCUGGAAACCAGAACCAUUAGGAAUGUUAAGUGUUUUGUUUAUGAUAUCAUGAUAUGGAUAACAGGGCAUACCCAAUCAAUAAUAAAAGUACAUAUUGCCUGAGAUUGCAGGAAAAUUCCCAGAAUGAGACUAAGGAUACAAUUGAGACAUGCCAUGAGGUGUGUUUCAAUGUCUCAGGAUACAAACAAUAGUGUUAUUCCUCAAGCCUGAACAACAAGAAAUAUUUAUCCCAUGGUUAACAAUUUACACUAACCCCCCCCCCCCCAACCCCAUCCUAAAGCCAUAACCUGUACAACAGCCUAGCUACAGAAAAACAAUUGCUGUGCCAACAGUACAGGGACAGCCAUACGUAGCUUAUGGUAUUUUCCCAAGGACAAGAGGCUAAUAAAAAUACAUUCCCCAACCAAUAGACCCUCCUUUGCCUUACACAGAAACUUAAGAUGAAAAUGGAAAACACAUAGUUAGUAUAAAUGACAAUGGGUUGAGGUGCAGAGCCUGCCCUUUAGUUAAAGAUUACAAAGACAUAAGAAUUGGUAUGAUUUGACCAAGGAUCAAGGAAGUUCUUUAAGAAAGCAGUUAAAUAGGUCAUAUGAAAAAAGGAAAUUACCUUGGAAAUUAAAAUAGAAUCAUGUAAAAUUAAUAUAAUAUAUUUUAGAGGCACUUCAGAGUAGUAGACUUUUAAAUAAUAGAAUUUCACUAAGUGUAUUUUACUGGGAUUUUAGAAGUAAGAAAGCUUACCAUAAAUCAUAAGUAUGCUUUAAAGUUAAAGGUUAAUGAAAUAAUUACAGGUAUGCUGUAAGUUAGAAGUGAAUAAUAGGUCAGGAGUCAUGUAGUCUAGUUGCGUUGCUUAACACCUAGUGAUUGAGGUGAAAAUCAUGAUUGGCUAAGGUUACAGAAAAAUAUUUUGAACAAUGUACUCAAUAUCUUAGGUAAUCAAUGUACGUUAGAAAAGAUUGUAACUCUUGAAAAUUAUGUAAAUCAAAAAAGUUUCAGGCUUUGAAGCUAUCUAUUAAAUACCUGAAAAAACACCUGUAAAAAAAGAUUAAAAUAAAGGUCCCUCCAGGGGCAGCAGAGAUUUCUUCUGGAGGCUGCUCAUAACUUGC
rnacentral:lncRNA from 1 species